CCUACGGGAGGCAGCAGUGGGGAAUAUUGCACAAUGGGGGAAACCCUGAUGCAGCGACGCCGCGUGAGUGAAGAAGUAAUUCGUUAUGUAAAGCUCUAUCAGCAGGGAAGAAAAUGACGGUACCUGAGUAAGAAGCCCCGGCUAACUACGUGCCAGCAGCCGCGGUAAUACGUAGGGGGCAAGCGUUAUCCGGAGUUACUGGGGGGAAAGGGAGCGUAGACGGCAGUGCAAGUCUGGAGUGAAAGGCGGGGGCUCAACCCCCGGACUGCUCUGGAAACUGUACGGCUGGAGUGCAGGAGAGGUAAGUGGAAUUCCUGGUGUAGCGGUGAAAUGCGUAGAUAUUAGGAGGAACACCAGUGGCGAAGGCGGCUUACUGGACUGUAACUGACGUUGAGGCUCGAAAGCGUGGGGAGCAAACAGGAUUAGAUACCCUUGUAGUC
rnacentral:rRNA from 1 species